CACAGGGCGCAGGUGUCCUAGUGUUCCACCAUCAACCUGUGCAGGCUCUGGAGACAUUCAACAGCUUCCUGAAGAGCACCUCCUUCUUCCUCAGCUGUGGGUAGGUUUCCUCCUCCAGGCUAUUUUGGGAAACAAUUAAAAGAGUUUGUAAAGUUCUUCCAGAGCUCGGAUGCGCAAUUAAUUGGAGGGUGAAGAAGUGGAAGAAGGCUGAGGGAAGAGGCCAGGGACAGAAGCCCCCAGAAUUCUUGACAACACACAGUUGAAGGACUUUGAUCUCCAGGCUGUUUUGUGAAUCCUUCAGGUACCUGGCUAAGUCCCCAUGACAGGUCAAAUUCUAGGAGUGGUAUUGAUGUAAGUUUUAGGGGGAGGGACUGGUAGUGGGCUUAAGAGUGUCCCGGAACAGCCUCAGUAUAAAGUAACAAACCAUUUUUCUGGCAAAGAUAGACCAAAGUGGGGAAAGGCAACUCAGUUUUAUUUCAACUUAUUUUAGGAGAUCUAUGUUUGAGGCCUGAACUAGUUGUAGAAUUACCGAGUUAACCUUAGGUAGUUGACCUUUAUGGGUCUCAUUUUGUCUCUUUUUUAAAAAUUUAAAAAAGAAAAAUUUUAGGGGCGCCUGCGUGUCUCAGUUGGUUGGGU
rnacentral:lncRNA from 1 species